CUGGGAUGCUUUAGCCUUGCCCGCCCCAAAGCGAGACCAAAGCGAAUUGGGGGCAUGCGGCGUAGCGUGGCAUGCGACGUGUGGCGUGGCAUGUCGCAUUCUAAAAAUAUAAACCAGGAAAAAGUGCUCUGCAUUGCCUGCGACAUCCGCUGUGCAUCGCAGAGCUACGCUACAGUUCCAUUGCACUAUCGCCUAUCGGCCAGCGACGUUGAACGAAUCGAAAAUAGUGCAGACAAUCGCAUAGCAUCGCGCAGGUGGCAAAUCGGGGCAUGCCACGCACUGGCAUGGGUCGGUACAGGAUGCCAUUACCGGCGGCCGAAGAGCUAAAGAGCCACUUGGGCCACUGCGAAAUCUGACGAUUUCUCGACAAGCAACCUACGUGAUCAUAAUACCAAUUCUUGACCCAGAAAUUUCACCCGGCACCCGGCUGAAAUCUUAUUAGCCAAACAUGCUAUGGAGCUAUGGAGCUAUGGAGAUGGUGGAGGAGUUCGAUUUAAAUAGCAGCUAUGACCACUUUUGGCUUUUAUACUAUGUUCAUAUCUUUCUUUCUUAAAACACCAGCUAAUGAGGGCACGGCACAGCACAGCAGAAAGACUAAUGCCAGCGGCUCCAAAUUGGAAGAGACUCAAUGGAGACAAGACACAAUAAAGUUCCAGCAAAGUUUCUCACUGUAACUUUCUCACGCAUUCUAAUGAGGCAUAAUUUUCCAUUGUAUCCGCAGCCCCCUCCGCCGGACUACUCCUCGUGCAGUAUACGCGACUCGUAUUCGGCACAAAUUAAGUGAGAAGGUGAACAAAAGUACGCGUAGUAUCUCCAUUCCAUCGUUGUUGUCAUCAUCAGUACUCACGACUUGUCGCAGUCUACGUGCAGCAGAUCCCCGAUCUCCGAUCCCCGAUCCCCGACGCCCGAUGCCCAACUAAGUGGCAGUGGCCCUUGCCACUCCCUAGAUCUCUGAACGAAAGAAAUGGCGCAUAUGGAACCGUUUUCGCUUUCAUUCGAAUGCCCAACGAGCGGACCAGACCAGACCAGCCACAACUGGCCGCAUUUGAUGACUGCAUAGACCAUAAAUUUCCGUUGGCUUUGGUUUGUUUUCUAGUUUCUAAAUAAA
rnacentral:sRNA from 1 species